GGUUGGGUCUACCGGUACCUGGCAACGGUAACUUGCUGUACCCCUAACGUUUACGUUAUUUGGAUGAGAAAGGAGAUGUAUGAGGAUUGAUUUACAUCAUACACUGGUUGCUCUCAGCGCUACGGCAAAUAAUCUGGGGUUCAGAAAAUAGCAAUAAAAACAUCCGUCCUCUGUAGGUCCAUAUUUUCCCAAGAAGAUGCACUGGAACACAGUCAGGUACAGAUCUCGGAACUACAGAAGUCGAAAAUUCCCGAGUUCCAAGUACAAUUGAAUGCAGCAUCAAUCCAUUCAACGCUGAAUAUCGGCAAGGAAAAGUACAAUGUCAAGUGAAAGCGAAAAAAAAAUGGAAGCCCUUCUUCUGCUUGGAGAUGCUUUUAUUGAAGAUUUACAGAAAUCCAAACCAGGGAGUCGGAACGAGGUUUCUGAAUCUCCAUCCGCAGGGGGAUCUAAUGUGACCUGGAGUAAGAGGGACCUUGAUGGGCAACGGGUGUACAGCAGCAAGCGGAAGAAAAGGGAUUCAUCUGCUGUUGGCACACGUCCAUGCGCUAUUCAGACAACUUCAGCACGUCCAAGCUCCCUAGAUCCGGAUUUUAAUUUGCAGAGGCUGAAGGACCUUCUUCAGGACUCGGAGGCGUCGAGGAGGAAGAUGUGGGUCACCAGCCACCAUCCAGUUGGAGCAUGAGACAGAGGGAGGUCGAACAGUGUUGGCAACAGGCGAGGCCACAUAACGUGGACAACUUGUUGUCAGCCCAAACCCUGUACCAGGUGACAUGUAACCACUGUCAAACGAGGGACGCUGUCAUCCGUUGUGGGGAAUGUAUGCCCUUAGAGUGGUUUUGUGCAGAGUGUGAUCAAUUGGCACAUAAACGCCACACUCUGCACAGUAGGCAAACCACCAUGGCUGGGUUUUUACAGUACAUUCCUCCAACGGAGUCUGUGAAACUCGUUGAUGGCAGGUAUAUUGUCAGUGAACAAGACUGUUUCCUGCCAACUGCUUUUCCCAAGAGCAUCUGCUCUUGUGAAACAAAUGAUGUUGCCAUCUCCGUUGGUAGAUCAGUGACACUGGUUUGCAUAAAUGGCCGGUAUGAUUUAAGUCUUCCAGUGCUAACAUGCCGACAUUGCAGCAAGCAGUGGGGUCCAGAGGUCUCUGACUUUGUUAGGAGUGGGUACUGGCCCGCUACUAUGCAAGCACAGACCCUGUUCCACCAGGAUCUGUUCAGUUCAUUUGAGGCAAUGAAGACUGCAGCUCCAGGAAUGUCUAGGCAGGCCUUCACUGCAAUGUUGGACCAUAGAACCAAGCAGUUUGGACGAACCGGAAACGUGAAUGCAGACGCUUUUCAGAGGAGCUUCCUGCAGUACGUGUACUGCAAGUCAGAAGAAAGCAAACUUCUGGGGAAGGAUCCUUUCAUCUGUCCAGCCUGUAGCCCUGAAAUGGUUGCUGUUUCAGUUGAUGGCAACAGGAAACUCUACAGGUUCCAAAAAACAAACCAGAGGGAAGAGCCUGGGUUCUUCGAUGGCGUUUUUUUAGCCAAAGACUCUGACGUGUCUACUUUUGUUGAGGAGGUCCGGGGGGCUGUCAAGAGUACUUCAGGAAAAGCAAUGUGCGGAGAAACCCACAGGUCAGCAGCAAGAGAGACAUCUAGACAGAGCAGCAAGUUAGAUGAAGAAGGCGUAGAAGUAGCGGUGUGUCGGCAUGGAUUCCUCCUCAAAGGUCUGAAUAUGUAUCGAGGAGAAAUCUUUGCAUAUCCAAUGUUUCUCCAAAAAGAUCUCCCAGAGCGCAAAGUUUUUGGCAAUGGACGUGACCUGCCGAUACGUGCCUUACAUGAAUAAGGUGUCAGAGGCACUGACUCAUCUCAAACCUCUUCAGGAAAUGAGGCAUUGCCUGUCUGUGAUGCACGCCAAAGCCCACAAUACCAAAUGCGAGAUUCUUUGGAGUGCAAGAAACCAGGAGGGUGUCGGCACCACUCUUGGUGAAGAAGUUGAGCAGAUCAACAGCUAUCUCUCAAGAUGUGCCCUGACCACCAAGUAUAUGGCCAAGUCAGUAAGAAUUGACAUGCUUGCUGUACAUGCCAUGGGGUGGAAUCAGCGCAAAGAGGAUGGCCUUCACAUUGCCCUGUCUUCCAGAUUUAAAAAGACAGUGGAAAAGACCUCUGAAGUUUCUGAGAACCUGAAGAAGCUGCAGGACCAGAUGCAUUGCUGUGAUGGCAUGCUAAAACAGUGGGUUGCUGAUGUCAAGCAGUGGGCCAGUAGCGGAAGUGCAGCAGCUAGUGUUGAUGCUGUUCGGGGUCUGCAGAUCUCGAUCGAAUCGCUCUUCGUGAGCAUACGGCACAAGAAGCAUUUCCUCUACAUCCAUAAUGAUCGCAACAAAAGGCGUCAGAAAGUAACCCAAAAGAUAGCCAAGGAGAAGAAACGGUUGCUAGAGGAGAUUGUUCGGUACAACCAAAAGCCUGAUGUGGACCUGGUGGAUACCAGCUCUGUUGUGCAGAACCUCUCCAGCAAGGCUGAUGAGCGCAUGAUCUGGCCAUGGCAGGAGCAGAACAAAGACGGUGUUGACAUCCUGACCAAGAAGAAGCUAUUUGACCUGCAUAUGCUUGCUUCAAGACUGGCAGAGGAAAAGGAGAUCCUGGUGAAGGAGAUGAUGCAACACUGUCAGUACCUCAAGGAGGCAUGCACCAAAGUCCAGUCCCUGAUGGCCACCAUUUCAGGGAGCAUACAGACAGGAAGCUAUCCGAAUGGCUUCACAGAAAAGGGGUCCAAAGGCCUCAUCUGUGUUCUUCAGAGAAGGUUGAAAGACCUAAAGCUUAAACAGAGGACUGUUGCAGGCGCCUACAGAGGCAUUCUCGAACCAGGUGUCAGACUGGUGGAAGAGGAGGACGGGGAACUGGAGGAAGACAUGGAUUCGCAGAGUGAUGACAGCUCGGAGGAUGAGGAUGAUGGAGAGGAGGUGUAGGGGCUAAUAUGAAUAUAUAGCCAGUUUUUUUGUUUUUUUUAGGUUGCUCAUACUGUUUUGUUUAAUUUCUGUUUAGCUUUUAGACAUUUUCAUCUUUGAUUUUACUUGCCUAACGCCUUAUUUCCAUCUGGGACGUACUCGCGCGGAACGGCUGUGAACCCUGCCCUGCGUCCAUUUCCACCGGGAUGGUAACGGCAGCGUAGCGCUGCCUUGCAAGUAUUCACGCGAGAUGACGUGAUAAUCCUCGUUAUGCAUUGUCCUUAAUGUUGUAUGUUUACUCAUGUGUUGUUCCAUGAAUCAGAAUAAAUGCUUUUUUCCGAAGUUCUUGAAGCUCUUGUAAAAUUGGUUGUUGAUUGUUAUAUUGCUCUUACAAGUACUUUGUUACAGUAGGCUACUUAAAUAGAUGUGAAUGUGAUGGUACACCAGUACAAACAUCUGAGGCUGGUAGGGCUAUAACCUUUCAGUAGUCACUUAAUCACCCCCAGUUAUUUCAAUAAACCAAUGUUAUUAUUUAACUUCACUUU
ensembl:lncRNA